UCAACGCUGGCGGCGUGCCUAACACAUGCAAGUCGAACACGGUUAUUCCGCAAGGGAUAACUGAGUGGCGAACGGGUGAGUAACACGUGGGUGACCUACCUUCGAAUGGGGGAUAACGUCCCGAAAGGGACGCUAAUACCGCAUAACAUCCCGCCUUUGAACAGGCGGACAUCAAAGCUGGGGAUCGCAAGACCUGGCGUUUGAAGAGGGGCCCGCGUCUGAUUAGCUAGUUGGUGGGGUAACGGCUCACCAAGGCGACGAUCAGUAUCCGGCCUGAGAGGGCGGACGGACACACUGGGACUGAGACACGGCCCAGACUCCUACGGGAGGCAGCAGUGGGGAAUUGUUCACAAUGGGCGCAAGCCUGAUGACGCAACGCCGCGUGAGGGAUGAAGGUCUUCGGAUUGUAAACCUCUGUCACCGGGGAAGAAACGCUUUGAGGUAAUACUUCAAAGCCUGACUUAACCCGGAGAGGAAGCAGUGGCUAACUCUGUGCCAGCAG
rnacentral:rRNA from 1 species